UGUUUUACAUAGGGAGGUGAGACGCGGUUGGAGGCCAAGGUCAAGUUGAAAGUUGUUGUUGUCUGGCAGUCCAGCCCGUCGCG
ensembl:misc_RNA